GCCGGCCAUACCACCCUGAACCGCCCGAUCUCGUCAGAUCUCGGAAGCUAAGCAGGGUCGGGCCUGUUAGUACUUGGAUGGGAGACCGCCUGGGAAUACCAGGUGCUGUAAGCU
rnacentral:rRNA from 1 species